AUGGGUGGAAAGGAUUAGCUGCCCCCUUUCUGCUCAUGUGCUUCGUUCUCUAGAAACAAAAUAUCACAACAACCAGCUAAAAAAAAUAUCACAACCACUUUGUGUGCUCCUAAUGACUUGAACCUGUGCAGAUGGUCCCAGAUCGCUGCCAAGUUACCUGGAAGAACAGACAAUGAGAUCAAGAACCACUGGAACACGCACAUCAAGAAGAAGCUUAUCAAGAUGGGCAUCAACCCGGCCACGCACCAGCCUCUAGCCAACUCCAAGGCAGCUCCCUCACACUCCACAGGUACAGACGAAUCCGCUAAAUCCAGCGACACCAGAGAGGAGCUGAGCCUGAAGGAUGACAACCAUCAUAGGGAGGUUCCGCUGUCCACCGAUUCAUCGGAGCAGUCCAGCUGGCCAGAGCCAGGCAGCAACGUCGGCGACCAAGACCCUGAACUGCUGGUGAAUUGGCCGUCGGAGACCGACUUGUCAGUGGACGAGUCUUGGCUGGGUUUUAUGAGCAACGGCAAUGAGCUUGGCGAUGUCGAGGGGACGUCGCCGUGGGACGGAACAACAGACUGGCUGCUGGACUACCAAGAUUUUGGCAUGUGCAGCUCCAACUUGGUGGACGAUUCAAUGUUCCGCGCCUCAAAUGGAUUGAACUUCUAAAUGUCGGAGAAAGGCUGUCCAAUUUCAAGAAAUAGGGAGGAAGACAGACUGCAAGUUUGAGCGCACUGCACAGCUCCCAGUAUAGAAAAUAGAUACAACACUUUCAAGAAUAAGAUUGUGAAAAGAGAGAGAGAGAGGCAUGGGGCAUAUCUUGACCAUAGAAUAGUGAUACCUUGCCCUUAAAAGUAAGGGGUUUGUAUUGUUAGAAACCUAAUGUUUCUCGGUACGAGAAGCUGAAGAACUAGACCCAAAUGUUCGAACCAUGCAAGGCAUCCUAUCCUAUGAACAAAGUUAGGGUGUUGCAGCUUUUCUGUGCAAGCUAAGGCUGUGCUCUGAGCAGUACAACAGCGAGGUUUUAUCUUGAUAUCUCCCUGUUGCUGUCCCUGGCAACUGUGGAGCAAUUACAGAGUUCAGGACAUGUUGUGUUAGAGACUCACACUCACCAUCCUUGUUCCAACAUCAGACUCAUCACACAGGCUUGUGGACUUUGAUGUGCGUAAUGUUAAGCAGUUGCACGGCAGAGACGAAAGGAACACGACUGUACGUGGAUCAGCAAGAGCCUUCCUGGAUUCUGCACGUUGGUCAGUCCAGUUGCGGCGGUUGGUCAGUCCAGUUUUCAUGAGGGCAAAGGUGUGUUCCCUUCUCUGUUCCGUUGCCGUCCAUGUCUGUCCCUGACAAAGAUGCAGGACCUUAAAAGGAGCCAGUGAACCAACCAUCUUCCAAAUCCUGACGUGUUUCUUCCAACUCCGAUGACUGAAAUAAAAUGAAGUGCCAGCAGAAACCAAAGCCUUGUUCGAGAGCUAACUUCCUUCCAAGCUCACCAGGUGGCUUUGUUGCGUCCUCAACCGCAUGUGCAACGGCAAUGGCGCAACAAAGCUCAGCUUCUCCAGAUCAAAGAAAUCGUGGUCAGCACCUGAAGACUGCAGCUUCUGCGUGGCCGCUAGAUGUCAGGAAAGGAUCGUCUGCUUGCAGUGUAGAUGCAACUGAGGCUGCUGCUCAUCUGUGCUUCCACCGCCCAAUGGGACGCUUCCUUUUCUUGAGCAUUUCCUCGUCGACUGUUUACGGCAUGGGAGCCUGGGAGGAGGCGUCCAGUUCUUGUGCGCUUGCCGUCCGUACUUGUAAAGAAAAAAAAGAGAAAGUAUUUCGUACUAACCAGAUCAACCCAAAAAAUGUUGAGAUACGUUUCAACAUUUUCUAUCGUUGCUACAGUAACACGGUGAAGAAAAUGGCAG
rnacentral:misc_RNA from 1 species